UAUAAAUAGUGGAACAAAAGGACCAACUUCCUCGCAGCUUUGCUGAAACUGCACAAAAAAGGCAAUCGGGGGGGGGACACACACGGUUAUUUUUUGAUUUUAUUUUUCUCCGGUUAAAAGGCGAAUCCUCCUCCUCCUUCCUCCCCCUCCCCCCCCAACCCCUCCCGCUACUGGAAGAUUUUUUUUUCCCCUCACUAUCUCCUAUACUGACAACGUCCUGCGAGCGGCUGUUUUGCUUUUGCACUGAGAGAAGAGCUUCCCCCCUCACCCUCUCUUCCGACACUUAUGGAUGAAAUCCACAUACUGAUGUCUAACCUGUAACAAAUGCCAAUUGUGCAGCUCUAGCAGGGAGCAGUGGAAUCAUGAAAAGCAUUAGGCCCUGAGCCUGCUAAUGCUCGUCUGCCAGCAGUCAACCGAGUUCAAGAUGACUCGCUCACAGACGUGAAGGGAAGAUUUUGAAAGUCAGUGGGAGCAGAGCUCCCAGACUCUCAUUCUGUACUUUUGAAAAAUCUUCCCCGAAGUCAUGGGAACAACAGUUUGCAGGUCUCAGGCCUCUGCUUUCUUUUCCCUUUUUAAAAAAGCGCAUCAGACUAAAAAAAAAACAAAACCACAAAACAGAACAAAACACUGAAGUCAGAAAGCCCGAGGAGCGGCUGGCAGGGAUGCGCUGGAUCUCCCUGCCGAGGCAGGGUCCGCGGAGCUCCCAGGGAAGGACUCUCCAGCAGAUACAAGUCAAGUGCAGACAGCGAGUGGCUCGGGCGGCACCGCAGCCUGCCUUUCCCCCGCUGCUUUCGGCAGCUCCCUAACCUCCAUAUCGGCUUCCCCAUCCCUGAGCGGGGCUGGGAGCACUACCCGGCCAUCAGGUUUUGACCUUUCAAUAGAGAGCUGAUUUUGGAGAACGACUUACUCCUGUGAUUGAAAAACUCUCUGCAAGGUUGAUGGAGCAUGAGCUUGCUUGAUUUUUGGCCCUAAAUCAAAGAAAUAAGUUCUGUCUUUAACAUUAAAGCUGUCUUCAGAGUUUUGUUUAUUUUAACAAAGCAAGAACAAAUGUUAGAAGCACCAAUAUUGCAGAACCAAGCAACUGUCUUUGGUUUGGUUUGUCUUCAUGGCUGCGGUGGGGGGGAGUGCACUUCAUACGAACGAAUGUGAAUCAACCUAGUAGAAGCAGUAAUUGGAGUCUUAGAUUAAGUAAAAAGGAUGUAAACCAGAACUUGAUGCUGAGAGUCCUUAACUGCACUUCUAAGUUUCCAGAACUGCAGUCUUAAACAUGAAUGCAAAAUUUCACUGUUACUUCAAGAGAGGAGCAGUCAAGGUGUAUUCUCUUAAUUCUUCUUCAUCUGACCACAAAGUAACCUCAACUGAGUUGAGUGAAUUAACUGAAUAUGUCUGAAGCAAAUAAUAAGUUUCAGUUGUUUUUUCGAGCAGCAUUCCUGACUUCUGUGUAUGUGUGGUAGACCCUGCUCCUGUGGAAUUUCAGUUGUGCAUCUUCAGCAGAGCUCUUGCUUUCAGGGGUUCAGAAGAAUCUAACAGAGCUGCCUGCAUACAUGAUUCCCAGCUUUCAUCAAGAUCUUCUUAAGACACAAGGAUGGAGAUAGCCCUGUUAGUUUGCAGAAGUUGUUUAUCGUGAACUGGCUAGAAGGCUUAUUGUAAUGAAGUGGAGUGCUUGGGUCCAUGCUGUAUUUUUCUCUUGCAGGAGAAUCUUUCAUUGAGAUGAUUGAAAUCGCUGCAGUGAGAAUGGAAAUUACUUGGGCUCCUUUCCUUUUAAAAGCUGCAUGCAAGAACUGUGUGGCCUUUAUAGGAACAGACUGCUUCCUUCUGGUUCACCAUGCAAACCCGUAUCACUGGCACAAAGCAGGAGAUGGCAGGGAAUGGGAAGAAGCAGAAGGACGAAGGUUGGACCACCUUGUUUGUUGGCCCUAGCAACUUAGAACAGUUCAGUGACAGGACGAAAACACAAUUUGAGCACUUGCAGAACCAGAGUUCAACUGAGGAACCAAAGUUCCUGUCAAGAUUAAGAAAAUGACUUGAAGUGCUUAUGAAGGCCUACUCAAAUUAUUUGGAUCCUAAACCUUUGGAAAGGAUGUUGUAUUUCUCGCAUGGUUCACAGGUGACUUAAAUAAUAUUAGCAGUUAUAUUUUCCAGAGGUUUGCCUGCAUGGAUGGUGCCAUAGGCUGUGACCAAAUCAAACCCCCUCUGCCUUGCAACUCUGGGAUCCUAAGGAUUGUGCCUGAUGUGAGAAAGGAAGGCUCACUGUUUUCAGUUCAGGUGCUUAUUUUCUGCUAGGCUUAGGAACUGCACAGGAAAAAGAUGCCUAAUUCACAUAAAAGAGAAAGAAAAGGAAGGCCUGCUUGAAAAUAAACUGAGACUAGUAGCUAUAUAGGUGUGAAGAUGUCUAGUGAGAGGAGCGUGUCUGAAAAUCUGAUAUUGAAAGAUUUGAGCUGAGAACUAAUAGGGGAAAGACAGUUCUGAUAAACUGGAAAAUCUGAAGGAUUGAAAUAGUUUGGGCAAAGAUUUGGGGUUUGUUUCUUGAAGUUGGAAGAAGCAGCAGCCUGACAGAAGGGAUCUGGCUUGAAGCAAAGAGAACAAGUCAGGCUUGGGGGAAAGGGCUCGCACACUCCAGAUCAUUCCUAACAUUCACUAGGGUAUUCUUGAGAUCCAGAAGGGAAUGUAGACUGUUAAGUAGUAGCUUUUGCUGUGAUCUGCAAAAUGACUGUCAAUUUCAUUCCCCUCAUCAUAUUCCACAUAGAAAAGAGCAAGCUUAUUAGUGCCCUCAGCUACUACUUUGUGGAUUUUGGUCCUGAAAAGGAGUCCCAAAAUAACAGAGUAGUUAAGGUAGGAAAGGACCUCUGGAGAUCAUCUAGUUCAAGCAGGGUCGGGCAGAGCAGCUUCUUUAGGGCUGUGUCCAGUCAACUUUUGAAUAUCUUCAAGGAUGGAGACUGCAACCUGUCCUGUUGAGACAGAAUUUCAUGCAGUUCAUUUUGUACCUGUUGCCUUCUGUCCUAUCACUGGACACAACGGAGAAGAGCCUGCCUAUGUCUUCUUUACUGUCCCUUUCUUCCAUCAGCAGGUGUUUAGAAACUUUGAUAAGAUCACACAAACACAAGCUUUUUCUUCUCCAGGCUGGAGUCUCAGCUCUCUCGGCCUUUCUUCGUGUGAAAGAUUGUUCAGUUCUCUCAUCAUCUUUGUGGAAGUAAAUAAAAUACUUCAACUAAUAAGGGGAAUUAAAAUUCAAAGGGGGAAAUGUUUUUGUGGGGAAAAUAAACAAAACACAACCUGAUAACUGUAAAAAGAACAUGAAGAUCACAAAAUGAAAAGGUAAGAGGUUAGGUAACUCCUACUUUAAGAUUCUGCAAUCUUCAUUUGCCCCCUUGUGUCAGUGUACUAUGAAGCAAUCUUUGUGACCACACAGAAUAUUCAACCUAAUGAUAGGACUGGCUGGGUGCGGGUGCUGGGCCAGGCAAGAUGUUUUUGGGCAGUGCCAGCAAGAAGCUUAAUGCUGCUAUAGGUGCUGCAGAUUAGUAGAAAAUUCUGUAGGCAAUGGAAUAACUGCUACAAGUAGAGGAAACCAUGUCUUCGUGGUCACGUCAAGUGAGAAUUCCUAAGAAUUGGAUGAGGUGUUUAUUUUUCUGCCUUUAUUCUUAUAUGAUGCUAAACAAGUUACUGGGCCUUGGCUUCUGUAAUACUUGUAUUCCUCUUUAAUUUAGAGGUGUCUAACUUAAGACUCUUAUGUCUGAAGGAAACACUGUCAGUUUACAUUUGUAGGUGAGUUUCUUGGGAGUUGUCAUUUGAAUUAAAAUGUUCUGUAAUGUUAUGUCUCCCAACAGCCUCCUAUCUUGUUAAAGCAUACCUCAAACUGUGGCAUACUAUGAUAGUUUCUACACCUCCAUGUCAUAUUUAAAAUAGGGAUAAUAGAAACUUAGCUGAAGGGCUGUUGGGGUUUGGUUGUUUAAUAAAACGAAACACUUCUGUUUAGUAGCUGUACUAGAGUACAUUUCCUUAUGGAAUUUUCUAUGGCAUUCUUCAAUUCUGAUUUUGGAGGAAGAGGUGAGUAUUGUGCAUCUUUUAAAGACAAGAUCUGCAAUCAACUUUUCUUGUUGCCAGCUCAAGUUGAGAAGCAGAGUUUCCAUGUUGUUUAUUCAUGGUCUAUUUGUGCAGUCCUGUGAACUCCAAAAUACUCUGAUUUUUGUCCUCUUGUCACUGAUUCAUUUUGCAAAUGUAACUCUUAUUAUUAAAUACUUGUACCAUUUUUGAAUGUCGUUUCAGAAGUAACAUCUUCAAUAUUCUGUAAAAUAUUCUAUACACUGAAGGUAAUGUUCAUGUUUCAGCUUCAUCAUGUUUGACAAUAAAUUUACCUGUGAAGACCUAUUUUGCAGAAAGAAUGAACUAGUUGUACAGUGGUAAGCAGUGCCUUGUUGAAAAUGUAAAGUGACUUAGACCUGUGUAUUUAGCACUUCUACAGGCCAUUGUUCUUCAAAUUUCAAAAGCAGUUUUCUUGGUACUGCACACGGCACACUUUGCUGAGUGAGAGUGGCCUGUACUGAGUAUUUGGAUACCAAGAUCUGAAAAUGUUUCAGCUUUUCCCUUAGUCAUGGUAUCUUGUUAAGUAUUGAGGGAAGUCUGUCCUAGACAGGUAGCAAUACUAACAGUAAUGAUGGAAAUUUGAAAUGUUUAGACUUCCUUUAUCUUCUUCAUCACAGCCUGUCACAGAAAUCACAAGAAAUGAUAGAAAUAUAUCCAAAGUGGUGAGCUGCUAUUUUACCACAGUGUAACUUGAAGCUGAGCAGCAAUUCUUCAUGUAAGAAACAAGUAAACAAAAAGUUUAAAAUGUAUUUGAAGGAAAACACUAUGUCUGAGAUAUAUGUGAAUCUCCUUUCUAAGGUGGAAGUUGCGUGUAUCAGAAUAAAAUGUUUACCUAUAAAGAGAAAUAAGAAAGAAUUAUGGAAAAAAUGCAGUACCAUGAGUGACAAUGCUCAUCUUUCUGUGAGGGGGAUAAAAAUGUUUGGUGUAUUUUUCACUACAUAGUUUAUUUCUGUUAGAAUGUAUUUAAUGGCUUUCAGGUGCAGUUUUUUUCCACAUUUUAUUCACUUAUAAUAGCUCUGUAUUUGUUAAUAAAUCAAAUUUGAAUUUA